GGGGAUGUAACUCAGUGGCAGAGUGAUCGCUUCGCAUGCGAUAAGUCGGGGGUUCAAUUCCCCCCAUCUCCA